CCCUUCUCAGGAUUGCAACUAGAGAGUUUCCAGUACUCUACCAGUCUCAACUCUGGGAGGGAGAGUCAAGCAGAGGCAUACCCAUUCCAUUCCUACUUUGGGCAGUGGCUAGCGAGUGGAAGGCAAUCUGCUACAAGU
rfam:Ornithorhynchus anatinus chromosome X1, whole genome shotgun sequence.